rnacentral:rRNA from 1 species
AGAGUUUGAUCCUGGCUCAGAAUGAACGUUGGCGGCGUGGAUUAGGCAUGCAAGUCGAAUGCGAACGUAGCAAUACUAGUAGCAUGGCGAAAGGGAUAGUAAUGCAUGGGCAAUCUACCCUCGACUCUGGGAUAUGCGGCGGAAACGCCGAGUAAUACUAGACACCGUUAUCGAAGGACAUCCUUUGACAACGAAAGGUCCGCCGGUCGAGGAGGAGCUCAUGUCCUAUCAGCUAGUUGGUGAGGUAACGGCUCACCAAGGCGAGGACGGGUAGCGGGUGUGAGAGCACGACCCGCAUCACUGGCACUGAGACACUGGCCAGACUCCUACGGGAGGCUGCAGUCGAGAAUCUUCGUCAAUGGGGGAAACCCUGAACGAGCGACGCCGCGUGGAGGAUGAAGGCCUUCGGGUUGUAAACUCCUGUUGGGAGGGAGCAAAUUUUGAGCGACCUCCUGAGGAAGCACGGGCUAAGUUCGUGCCAGCAGCCGCGGUAAUUC